GGCCAGACUCCUACGGGAGGCAGCAGUGGGGGAUAUUGCACAAUGGGGGGAACCCUGAUGCAGCGACGCCGCGUGGGUGAAGGAGUGCUUCGGCAUGUAAAGCCCUAUCGGCAGGGAAGAAGCAAGACGGUACCUGACCAAGAAGCCCCGGCUAACUACGUGCCAGCAGCCGCGGUAAUACGUAGGGGGCGAGCGUUAUCCGGAUUCACUGGGUGUAAAGGGAGCGUAGACGGCAGUGCAAGUCCGGAGUGAAAGCCCGGGGCUCAACCCUGGGACUGCUCUGGAAACUGUAAAGCUGGAGUGCGGGAGGGGCAGGCGGAAUUCCUGGUGUAGCGGUGAAAUGCGUAGAUAUCAGGAGGAACACCGGCGGCGAAGGCGGCCUGCUGGACCGUAACUGACGUUGAGGCUCGAAAGCGUGGGGAGCAAACAGGAUUAGAUACCCUGGUACCA
rnacentral:rRNA from 1 species